rnacentral:rRNA from 1 species
AGUGAACGCUGGCGGCGUGCUUAACACAUGCAAGUCGAACGAGAACGGAUUAUAGCUUGCUAUAAUUGUCAGCUAAGUGGCGCACGGGUGAAUAAUGUAUAGGUAAUAUGCCUCUUACUAAGGGAUAACAAAUGGAAACGUUUGCUAAUACCUUAUACUCCUUAUUAACAGAAGUUAAUAAGGGAAUGAUUUGUUGGUAAGAGAUUUGCCUGUAUUGUAUCAGUUAGUUGGUGGGGUAAUGGCUUACCAAGACUAUGACACAUAACUGGUUUGAGAGGAUGAUCAGUCACACUGGAACUGAGACACGGUCCAGACUCCUACGGGAGGCAGCAGUGGGGAAUAUUGCACAAUGGACGAAAGUCUGAUGCAGCAACGCCGCGUGGAGGAUGACACAUUUCGGUGCGUAAACUCCUUUUAUAUGAGAAGAUAAUGACGGUAUUAUAUGAAUAAGCACCGGCUAACUCCGUGCCAGCCGCCGCCGUAA